rnacentral:rRNA from 1 species
AUUGAACGCUGGCGGCAGGCCUAACACAUGCAAGUCGAGCGGGGUUUUCGGACCUAGCGGCGGACGGGUGAGUAAUGCGUAGGAAGCUGCCCGAUAGAGGGGAUACCAGUUGGAAACGACUGUUAAUACCGCAUAAUGUCUACGGACCAAAGUGUGGGACCUUCGGGCCACAUGCUAUCGGAUGGGCCUACUGGGGAUUAGCUAGUUGGUGAGGUAAUGGCUCACCAAGGCGACGAUCUCUAGCUGGUUUGAGAGGAUGAUCAGCCACACUGGAACUGAGACACGGUCCAGACUCCUACGGGAGGCAGCAGUGGGGAAUAUUGGACAAUGGGCGCAAGCCUGAUCCAGCCAUGCCGCGUGUGUGAAGGAGGCCUUCGGGUUGUAAAGCACUUUCAGCGAGGAGGAAGGGUGGUGCGUUAAUAGCACAUCAUUUUGACGUUACUCGCGGAAGAAGCACCGGCUAACCCUGUGCCAGCCGCCGCGGUAACAC